rnacentral:rRNA from 1 species
UACGUAGGGUGCGAGCGUUGUCCGGAAUUAUUGGGCGUAAAGAGCUCGUAGGCGGUGUGUCACGUCGGCCGUGAAAGCCUGCAGCUUAACUGUGGGCGUGCGGUCGAUACGGGCAUCACUGGAGUUCGGCAGGGGAGACUGGAAUUCCUGGUGUAGCGGUGAAAUGCGCAGAUAUCAGGAGGAACACCGGUGGCGAAGGCGGGUCUCUGGGCCGAUACUGACGCUGAGGAGCGAAAGCGUGGGGAGCGAACAGG